rnacentral:rRNA from 1 species
UCCACAGAAGGCAUCUAACGCGGACGAAAUGUGAAGGAGAAGGAUGGGGAUGCGUCUGAUUAGCUUGUUGGCGGGGUAACGGCCCACCAAGGCGACGAUCAGUAGGGGUUCUGAGAGGAAGGUCCCCCACAUUGGAACUGAGACACGGUCCAAACUCCUACGGGAGGCAGCAGUGAGGAAUAUUGGUCAAUGGGCGAGAGCCUGAACCAGCCAAGUAGCGUGCAGGAUGACGGCCCUAUGGGUUGUAAACUGCUUUUAUGCGGGGAUAAAGUGAGCCACGUGUGGCUUAUUGCAGGUACCGCAUGAAUAAGGACCGGCUAAUUCCGUGCCAGCAGCCGCGGUAAUACGGAAGGUCCGGGCGUUAUCCGGAUUUAUUGGGUUUAAAGGGAGCGUAGGCCGUCUGGUAAGCGUGUUGUGAAAUGUCGGGGCUCAACCUGGGCAUUGCAGCGCGAACUGUCAGACUUGAGUGCGCGGGAAGUAGGCGGAAUUCGUCGUGUAGCGGUGAAAUGCUUAGAUAUGACGAAGAACUCCGAUUGCGAAGGCAGCCUGCUGUAGCGCAACUGACGCUGAAGCUCGAAAGCGUGGGUAUCGAACAGGAUUAGAUACCCUGGUAGUCCACGCGGUAAACGAUGGAUGCUCGCUGUUUGCGUCUGACGUAAGCGGCCAAGCGAAAGCCUUAAGCAUCCCACCUGGGGAGUAC